CGUGGGUGUGCAUGUCUGUGGACAUGCGGGUGCGUCUGGGGCACGCCUGUGCCAGCCCGAGGGGCUGGGAGCACUUGCAGGACUUUGGGGUUUGCCGAGCAGCCACACGGGCCCUUAAGGCUGGCCUAAUGGGAAGGUUGACCUGAUUUCCACUCUCCUACCGAAAAGUGACAAUGCAGCCGCUGGGCUAAGGAGGGACGUUGUGUGACCAGUUUAGAGGCAGGAGUUCACGCGGCUGCAGUGAGGAGGGACGUUGUGUGAUGAGUUCAGAGGCAGGAGUUCACGCGGCUGCAGUGACCCUCUGCAAAAGGAAGCAACUGGACAUUUCCUCUACACGUUGUCUCUUUUGAAAAGUUCCAAGUGAGGAAUAUUUGUACUUGAUUGUUUUUCUUUCCUUGCAUGCCAGCAAAAACUUACUCACUUUAAGAGAAACGGAGAAAAAGCCUGGGUUAUUAAAUUUUAGCGGACAAUCACGUUCAAGCCAAGAAAAGUGCCUGCUGAUUUCCCCAGGCAGGGCUACCUCUGCCCAGCACCCAUAACCACCCCAGAUCAAG
rnacentral:lncRNA from 1 species